rnacentral:rRNA from 1 species
UACGGAGGGUGCGAGCGUUAUCCGGAUUCACUGGGUUUAAAGGGUGCGUAGGUGGGUUUGUAAGUCAGUGGUGAAAUCUCCAAGCUUAACUUGGAAACUGCCAUUGAUACUAUAGAUCUUGAAUUUUCCGGAGGUCAGCGGAAUAUGUCAUGUAGCGGUGAAAUGCUUAGAUAUGACAUAGAACACCGAUUGCGAAGGCAGCUGGCUACAGGAAUAUUGACACUGAGGCACGAAAGCGUGGGGAGUCAAACAGGA